rnacentral:tRNA from 1 species
GCGGGUAUGGUUUAGUGGUAGAAUGUCUGCCUUCCAAGCAGAAGACGGGAGUUCGAUUCUCCCUACCCGCA